CAUGGAUGCAUGGCGUCUGCUUUGUCAUGGAGAAUGCAGUUUGUGUCUCCAGAUUGCAUAGAUGUGGUGUCAUUUUCGUAGGGAAGGCAAAUAUGCAUGAACUAGGCAUGGGAAGGGCUGGAAACAAUCCAAACUAUGGGUAAGAUUUUCUUUCUUAAUUAUCACAUAUAAUAUUUGAUUAGUAAAAGAUUCUUGGAAUGCUGGAGUUGGUAACUUUGAAAUAACUUAAUGAUCAGGCAAAGCAUACUCAGAGUUAAUAGGGGUGAAAAUUCGGAAGUGUAACCUUUCUAGGACUUGAAAGGGCCCAAAGUAAUUAUUAUUAAUAUAACGAAGAUUCUGGGGCUUAUUAUUUUCCCAGGGAUAAAUGAACAAUACAGAGAGGUCAUUGAUCUUGUGACAUGCCUACCUGCUAUUUUGGAAUUCACUUCUAAAGAUCUUUUUACUUUUUCUUCAUUAACUUUGUCUUGUUUGCUGAUAUGAUCCAAUAUGCUUUUGCACCAUGGGUUUCUUUUUCGGAGAUAAAUCCAAUUCAUAUUGAUUUACAUCUGUGACAUAAUGUGCUAUACUAUCUGACUCCAAUCUUUAUGUACCAAGUUUAAUUGUAUAAUUGUUGGGCGAAGAACAAGAAGAAAUCCUCAUGCACCAGAAAGGUAUACAGGGAUCUUCCUCAGCCUCAGCGGCAAUUUUAGCUUCUGGAAUAUGCCCUGCAGCACUUGGAACAGACGGUAGAGGUUCAGUGCGUAUACCUUCUUCCCUUUGUGGGGAAGUGGGCUUGAAAGCAACAUUUGGAUGCACUGAUAUGGAAGGGUAGACUCUUUCACUAUUAGUUUAAAGAUCAAAAUCCACUAGUUCCUUUUCGGAUGCAUUGUUUUGCAACUGGAACAUGAUGGUAUAAUAGGAACAAGAUACUCUCCUCCAGACUCAGAUAUUUCUAUAUGGCUUUUCUUUUUUUUUCUUUCUUUCUUUUUUUUUUUUUUUUUUUUUUUUUGGGUAAUUGGAGUUGUUCUGUGCAGAAUCACUAAAUUGAUCUUUAUAUAUCAGGAUUUAGUAAGUCAAAAUGGAUCAUUCGUUUUUAUUCAGUACAAUAUACAUAAAGAAACUUUCAAUUAUUUGCGUGACAAGCCUUUUAUUGGCCUUUCAGCUAUGGUAAACAGAAAGAUGCAUGCAAUGGGUAUUAUUUUGGUAGUCACUUCGGUUUUAUUGUCCGAUGCCAGCUAGCCAUGCACUCUAGUGUUUAUAAUGAAUUUUACAUUAAUAAACAGAACAACUAUUAAUAAUUUUAUGUCAAGUAGAAAACCUAUAUUUGGGACAUCAUCUUUAGAACCUAUAUUUUGGUAAAUCAAAAUGCUUACUAUCAAAAAUCUGGUUGAGUUUGGGAUAUAUCAUGUUUAACUGCUACUUUGUGCUCACCCUUAGAAGGCUAGAAUCCUUGCAACAUGGCCUCCAAAUAUGAAGAGUUCAGAAAGUUCUUGGUUAUUCUGUUCUGGGACUCUGGAAAUUAUUGGAACAAUUGCAUCGACAGUGGAGGAUGUAAUAGACUUCUGAUUGAACUUGUAAUUUAUCAGGGCCCACCUUGUGCUCCAAAUUUAUCUUUGACAAUCCAAAUAUUUUGGGAUCCAUGCGACUAGGGAAGUAUUCAGCAGUAAUAGCCCCUUCUUAGGGUAGUAGAUUAGACUCAAAUUUGUCUUCUAUAUCAAUUGACAUGUUUAAAAUUAUAUAAGCAUAAACUUACAUUCUCAUUCUCCUGCAGUCGUUUAAUGAUGUAUAUUCAACUGAUAUUUCUGAAAAAUGUGAGGAUGCUCUUAAUCUGUUGUCAAAAACCCAUGGUUGUGAGCAGGUCUU